UCUAAUGGUGGGUGUCUUUUAGGUCCCAGUUGUUGUUACUAGUCAACUUUCAGUGGACACUGUGAGAGCAAAAUUGCAAGAUUAUGUUAUUGUACUUUUAUUGUAUCAAAUGGUUGUUUUAUGCAACAGAAUAGAGGGUUCUUAGAACUAUUGUGUCUGUGUUCUACUGAGGAUGGGCCUCUGGGAGAAAACACUGACAGGAGAUUUACAAUGUAUUUUGGGUGAUUAAAACCUAAAGAGACAGUAUUCCAGAUUAUGAGUUAAUGUUUCUGUUCUAUAUGGUACCAGGGAGAGAUGACCUCAGGGCCAGACCCUGGUUUCUACACAGAGUACUGUUUUUACAGCAGAUACUGUCUGCUGAGAAUUAUAAGUAUCUUUCAUACAAAUCUUAACCUUGUGACCCGUUCUAUACAUCUGUUGUUGGUCAUGUAGGUUGAAAGGGGUGUAUCUUAGCUAUAAAAGACCUUUGUACUUUUGUCUCGUGGCUCUCAACGAAUCAUCUGGGGGUGAUUUGUUGACCAGCCAAUAUUAUUGUAGAGCACUCAAUUGAUUCACUUUAUAUGUGUGUGUUGUAUUGACCUGCUCCCUUAUUAAUAAGUGAAUAAAGAUUUAGUUUAAGAAUAAAUCUGACUUGUGUGAUAAGUUUGUUUCUCAUUUGAUAUUAAAGAAAUUAACAACCACAUUUGGCAAUGUGAAUCUUGACUUGGUGACCCGCUCCUGACGACCUGGGUAAAUCAUCCUCGAGGGAUCCCUCAAACUUGGAAUCUCAUGGAGACCACACUUCGGGAACGGAGCAGAUGGACCCACCUUAGACCUGAGAGGCAGCGAGCAGAUUCUAUACACCAAGUUUUUUUAAAGCCGAAGCAGAGCCCCAAGUCCCAUGGAGACGUCCUCGAGGGCGUGGAUGUUCUCCCCAUCAAAGGCCAGCGGGAUUUCACUCUCAUGGUGAAAUGGAUUUCCACCGAUGUGCAGUAAAGGAGUGAAGAGCGGUGAAAUCUGUGUCAACAAAACCUUCCUCUCCUCUGAAGACCCAGUGAGGGUGGAGCUCAGUCAGAGAGCUGUUGAGGGACUGGUUAGGAAGAACACUUCUACAGCCAGAGAGGGGCAGUCAAGAAAUGGAACGGCAAGGCCACAGAACAUGACAUAAGCAGAGCUGUGGGAGACCACCUCAAGCCCCUGGUAGAGCCGGGGGUGGUGUUCACCACUCCACCACGCCUUCAGCAGGCUGGAAAAGUGGGAUUGAUCUGUUUGAUCCAUUUGUCUGUUUCAGUUUUCAGUAGUUUGAUCCUUUGAUGUAUUGUUCAUUUAAACAUUUUUCAUUUUCAACAAAUGCACUGGGUUGGUUGAAAAGUGAUACUAAACUUACAUACCAUGCACUGAAUUGAUACUGUUUUUCAUACUAAGAUGGACCAUGCGCUAUAAUGACAAGGUAGAAGAUAGCAUGAAAGACAAUAUAAAUUCAGUCUAAGAUGGACCAAAAUAUGCCUUUGCACAUAUUUGUUCAUUGGUUUAGCAAGAGUCUGUUGAUUGGUUGGUCACUGAGUUAAUUUGUUUUGAAAUAUGAUCAGAUCAAGCUUUAUUUAUACAGCACAUUUCA